CUCUCCCCCUCCUUCUCGAUUUUUCUCUUCAUCUUUCCCUUCUUCUUCAUCAUCAUCAUGAUGGUUGCCGACACCACCAUCUCUACCUAUCUCUCCAUCGUCGCACGCCGAUAGCUACUAUAUUUGAGCGUCAACCACAUCUUCCCCAUUUUUUUUCUUUUUCCUUUGGGUCCUUAAACUUGAGAUAGAUGUUGAGGUAGAAUCUGAGAAAGAAGAAGAAGAGGAAAGGGCUGAGAAUUAAGGUGAAGAAAUAAAGAAAACCAAAAAGGGAUAGAUAGCCAUGGCAGCAGCUUCGCGUUUACAGACACCUUCUGGUUGUUUGCGUCGAUUUGAACACCACAAAAAGAAUUAAGAGGGCAGUUGGUUUUCAGGCAAAAUCAGGAGGCCUCUGGUUUUUCUUGUAUUUCAUAGUGUACCGGUGGAGCUAGGAUCUCUACUUGGCUAAAUUGAAGUGGGGAAAGCGUAAAAUCCUAGGGGAUCGAGUAAUUGAUUCGCCACCUACGGUUGUCAGGGGAUUCCGGGGCUGAAAGAGGUCGUGACCGGAGAUUCGAGAACCUGAGCCCAGGUGAGGACGUGGAUGGAGGAUUGUGAUAUAGCUUCGAGCCUAGCUUAACCCAUGGUUGGUUGGCUCUAUGUGCACAUAGGAGCGGUAUGUUGUUACCGUGGUAGGUGCUAAGUAUGCGUGAGCUCUGUUUGGCCGCGUGUUUCCUUGUGGAUAUGGAUCACGUGUGAGCUACUUCGAGCCGUGUAUUUAGUAUGCUAUCAUGGUCGGAUUGGAUGGAGGUUGCUACCGUGGUAUGUGCUAAGUAUGCGUGAACUCCGUUUGGUCGCAUGUUUCUUUGUGGAUAUGGAGCACAUGUGAGCUAUCCUUGGGCCGUAUGCUUAGUAUACUAUCAUGGUUGGGUUGGAUUGGUUGGAUCAGAUUGGAUGGAGGUUGUUAUCGUGGUGGGUACUAAAUAUGCGUGAGCUAGUUUUGGCUGCAUGAUUUUUUUAGUCAUGUGCGAGCUAUCUUUGGCCGUAUAUUUAUAUGCCUUGCCAUGGUUGGUUUGGAUACAGGUAGCGGUCAAGGACCAAGCAUUGGUUGUGCUUUUCUGUCAUUGAUUGUAGUUUCUCAUUCUUGUUGUAUGUAUAUAUUUAUGUGUAGUAUUGUAUUAUUGGGUGAUUAGAAGAAGCGAGAGUCAUGAUGAGAAUUUGAGUUUGAAAGGUCUUUUAUUAGAUUGUAAGCCUUCUAUAACUAGUUCGUAGUUGAAUAUAAAUUCUGAAUGAGAUUCUGGGAUUGUCUGGAUGAGUGUGUGGUGAGACACACUCGAUGAUAUUUGAGUUUUUGAAAAGCAUAGAAGUGUGUUUUUCCUUC